rnacentral:rRNA from 1 species
GCGCAACCCUUAAGCUUAGUUGCCAUCAUUAAGUUGGGCACUCUAAGUUGACUGCCGGUGACAAACCGGAGGAAGGUGGGGAUGACGUCAAAUCAUCAUGCCCCUUAUGAUUUGGGCUACACACGUGCUACAAUGGACAAUACAAAGGGUGGCGAAACCGCGAGGUCAAGCAAAUCCCAUAAAGUUGUUCUCAGUUCGGAUUGUAGUCUGCAACUCGACUACAUGAAGCUGGAAUCGCUAGUAAUCGUGGAUCAGCAUGCCACGGUGAAUACGUUCCCGGGUCUUGUACACACCGCCCGUCACACCACGAGAGUUUGUAACACCCGAAGCCGGUGGAGUAACCUUUUGGAGCUAGCCGUCGAAGGUGGGACAAAUGAUUGGGGUGAAGUCGUAACAAGGUAGCCGUAUCGGAAGGUGCGGCUGGAUCACCUCCUUUCUAAGGA